rnacentral:pre_miRNA from 1 species
AUGAAACAUUUUUCUCGGCAGUUAACUGCAGCCGGUUUUUUAUUUCUCGACAGUUAACUGCCGAGGGACAA